rnacentral:lncRNA from 1 species
AGUAUUCUUCUUUCUCUCUAGCAAUUUUUUUUUGCUCUGGGUUUUACUGUUCAUUUGCUACAUAGAUUUUAAUAUUUUUUAGCCAUCCCUUUUGGUUCCAAGAAUUUUUGCCAAUUCCCGCUUCUCAAUAUUUUGGUUGUGCUCUUGUUUUCGUGUAAUCAGGAUCUUAAGGGGGUAAGUACUGUUGUUUAGGUUUUAAUCAAUUGUUUUCGGGAAUUUUCUACACUCUUAUGAAUGGAUACUUUCUUAAUCUUUCUGUACUUGUGUAAAUUGAGUUUUCAGCUCGGUUUGGUGUAGACGAAUCGGUCGAUCUUUGGGCUAGGAAUCGUGUUUUUAAAGUGUGAGUUCUAAUCAUUUGUGAUCAGUGUGUGUGUGAGACUUCGUUAAAUGUUUUCGUACGUGUGUGCGCGCGCUGCACUUAAGCCAUAUUUUACUGUCCUUUCUACGCUAAUAGGCGGUUGGUACCUAGUCAUAUUUGUACACUUGCUUCUCCCUUCACAUUGAGUGUCUUCAUUGUAAUUAGAAUAAUGCUACUUCUUAUUGUUAGUUGCUGGCAAUUGGUUUUACAGAUAAUUUCCCAUAUUAUAUGCUUGUGGUCAUGGGAAAUGGAUCAAAUUUGUUGACCUUGCAGUUGAUUUUUUGCUACAUUUGAAUGUUCUUCCGUUAAAAUGAUUCAUCGACUUAGGCAAGAGCAGGAUUUGUCAAUUAGUAGCUAUGGCAGUUUUGAAAUCUGAAAUUGAAAAAAAAAUGUAUGCAAUUAGUGCAGAUUUUCUAGGCUGUACUAAUUUUUUUUUUGAUAGAUGAAUAUAUAGUUGCUAAUGUUGAUGGUAUUAAGUUUCUAAUUUUGAUGGAAUUACCUCUUAUAUAUUAUAAUUGCUAUUGCUUGUUUCUAUAUUUUGUUUACUGCUAUUCGUUUUACAUGCAAGUGUCGCAUAUAUAUAUACAUAAAUGGCUGCUGGUUUUUACGUAGAAAUGUUGCAUAUAUGCUGUGUUUUUUUUUUGUCUGUGUGGUCUUGUUUUUGUGGAUUUUUUUCACCUUUUUCCAAUUUAAUUUGUUUUAGUCUCGGAAAGAUCCCAUGCACGUUUAAGCCUCUAUAGGAGUAUCUGCGACACUAAUUCUGUUUGAAUUUACUUAUGCAAAUUAAAUUAUGUGUCAUGAGUUCUGUCAUUUGUAUAGAUGAUUAUGUGAUGUGGUAUGUUAAAAUUCGCAAUAUGAAAGAGUUGAAUGUGAUAAUCGGAAAAUUUAGCACUGUUUAUUCUGGUAUUGUAGUUGAGCCAGGAAAUGUCUGAUUUGAUAUUUGAUAUGUAUUUAUAAGUAUCUGUUUUGAGAGAAUUUUUCAUAUGCAUUGUGGUUGGGAUUGACAUUGAAGAGAAGGAAGUUUGGUUCAGCAGUUUCACUGCAAAACUAUAUUUUCGCAGUAUAACCGCAAUAAUAAAAGUGGCAUAUGACCACAUUACGUUGUGUUCGGAUGGAUGGGUACUCCAUAAACCAAAUAUUGGUGUGUAGAGGUUGGAAAUGGUUUAGUACACCCUAUUUUGGUGUGUGAUGGAUGGUUGAAGGUGGUGUGUAGAGAUUGGAUAGGUGGGAUACUGCAUCACAUGAUAUGAAAUUGUGUUGUACAUAUUUGCUUUGCGUCACAAUAAUAUGUUAUGUUAAAUUUGUUAUGAUUUUUAUCUGUGUUUUUAUUAUGGUAUUGUUAAAAGUUGAUCGAUCAUUUAUUGUCACAUCGACUACUUCUGUUUAAGACUCAAACCGAGCUGGACUUGGCAAGUCGGAGGUCUCAGAAUGAUAUGUUUGGUUCGACUUAUUAAAGUCUUGCAUAAUUUUUUUAAUAAAUUGUUCGGACUGUACAUGAAUUCUUUUUAUGAAUUGUGGUAUGAAUUUCAACUUUGGACUAUCAUUAAGGUUUUAGGAUUUUGGUUUUGAACUUAAACUGUGAUUUCGCACAUGUUUUUCCCUAACUGCACUACUUCUUUUCCUUAUCUAUUAAUUGUUCAGUUUUCAAGUGUUAAUUUAUGGAUUUUAAAUUUUUCCGUCACAAAUUUUUGGUUUUGUUGAACUUCGGUUAGCGAAAUUAUUAAUCUAAUUUUGUUUUCAAGGUUAUUACGAGUAAUUGAAUUUGGUUUUGGACAAAUUUUGAGUGAUAAAUUGAUUUAAUGUGUUUGCAAAAUUAUAAACAAAGCUCAAUUAAGUUUUUGGUAAAAUAAGAGAAAAUAUGGGUUUUCGUAAGGUUUUUGACAAAUUUAUUUGGUGUUUAAUAGAGGGCCAUAUUUCAUUGGCCAACUUAACCUCCGGAAUCUGGUCAAAACUUCUGGGCCAAGCUUUGGGGGUUAUAGAUUUUAUGUUGAUUUUUGGAUUGAAUAUGGUAGAUCUCGUAUUUCUUGGCUAAGCUUUGGUUAUAAAGUGAUUUAUAACCCAUUUUGAUAUAAUUAAAAGGUAUUUGAUUUUAAUUUACUACCCUUAAUGAAUGUAAGCAAAUUGAAUGUUUUCCCCUAUUUAAAGAUCACUUAAGCUUGAUUUUUUCGAACAAAUUAGACCAGUGUAAUUGGGUAAAAUUGAUUAUUUAGAUAUGUAAUUAGAUGAUAUUUAGGAUGUUUGGAAUCGAAAUUAAGGUUUAGAAACUAGAUUUGAGUGGUGAAAUUGCAUUUUCGGCAAAACUAGUUAGUUUCUGAUAAGUAUGAUAGAUGUGUUGUGGUAUGCAUUUUUUAGAUGAUUUAAAUGUGUCUGAGGUUGUUUAUAAUAUGUUUGUAAUGUAUUUAAUGUGUAUACAAAGUUUUAGACUCAUUGGGAGAUUCUACAAGCAAGGACAAAGGCAAACAAUGGCUUAUUUAAAGUCAAGAUUGUAAGGUAAGUGGUUUGGUGCGCUACAAUUAAUCACAAAUCAAAAUCCAUGUUGCCAAUACACCCNNN